UUUAUAAUUUAAAUGAAAUAUGGGGAGAAAGAAAUAAAAGAAAACCUCUCUUAGCAACAACAAAAAAAGCUGUAGUGUAGCCUGUUGAGUUACAGUUUACCCUCUGAUCCAUUCAUCUUUAAUUACAUGUAUUCAUUGUUGAGAGUCAUUGGUCUAGCUUGAGGUCUUGGCCAUCUGCUAUACCACCAAUAAUACGAUCUCACUGGGGCUUCUUCUGAAUGACCUGUUGUUGUCUUGUGUUGUGGAGAUCCUUCUGUUUUGGAUCUGUAGGUUUGUCCCUGUCACAGGCUCCAACAUUUCAUAGAUGAGCAGGAUGUUGAGGUGGACCAAUUCAUAGCCCUGGUUUUGGGUUGAGUGGUAACUGGAUUGGUCAGACCAAUAGACUUUCCUUAUCAGCACUACCAAGAUAAAGAAGUCUCUUAUCAAGGAGAUGUCUCUUUCAACAGAUGGAGACCAGUAUGGCAAAUCAUAUCCAAUAAAAAUAAAGUAUUGUGUGAUCAAGUCCCAUUGGACAUACCUAUACUGUAACUCCUUCAUUUAAGUUUCAGGAAACAUUGCAAAAGGGGGAAACAGAAAAAGUGUAAGAGCCAGAGGAUCAAGGAAUUUUCUGUGCGACUGUGUUUUCUGGAAUGUCAGAAGCCACACCCAUAAAAAACUUAUUAACAUGACUGCCCAAACACAAGCUCAGCAAGGACAAGAGACUUAAAAAAAUACAUGGGAAAAAGCCCAUGAGGCCCAACCCUAUACAAAGAAGUACAAGCAACUAAGUGGUGCUGAAAGUGAGAGAAACAGUCUUCUCUAAAGAAGAUCACACCAAUUGGUUUUCCAAUAACAAAUGGUAAAUCAUGAAAAUCCAUAUAUAAGUAACAUAUACAGACUGAGAAUGUUGUAUUCAUAUAUAUAUAUAUAUAUAUAUAUAUAUAUAUAUUUCUGUAAUGACAAUUAUGAACACACAUAUAUUAUUACUUUUAAUCCUUUAUGCUUUCGACUCUUUGUGUAUGAUUAUUUCUGAUAGUCACAAACUCCUAUAUAAGAUAUCUGGGUAACUUAGUUCUUAAAGAAUGAAUUAACGAAAAAUGAAGGAUAAGAUCUAUAAUUUAAGUUACUAAUCAUCUUCUAUUUCAACUUCCAAGUUUGGAUAGUUAUAAUAAUUUUAGUUCUAUAAUUCAUACUAAUAGUAGUAAUUUUCUUCUUGAAUAUCCCUUCAGAGAUAUUUUUUGGAUAUGAAGACACACAUUUUUAUAUUUUUACAAAAACAUAGUAAUUACUCACUCUUCUAAUAUUCGCUUGUUUUCAUUUAACACUGAACUGUGCAUGUAAUGCCAUAUAUGCUUAUGAAUAUCCCUCUCUAUUUGCCUUAAGCUUUUCAAUUUAAGAAAUAAUCACAUCAGUAUUUAAUCAGACAGCUACUGAUACACAUCGAGGUUAUUUACAAUGUUUUGCUAUCUGUAAAACUGUAACAAUUAUUAAACAAAUAUUUAGCAAUGAUUCCUUAAAUCCUUCUAUGGUAGCUUGCCUUCUCUGUUUUUAGCAUGACUUCUUAGCUUUAGUUCUUUCUGAUGAAGUACUUCUCAUUUUCACCUAAGCUUCAACUCCACUGAAAUUGGGACGACAUCCCUUUUUUAUGGCUCAGUAUUUCGUUGUCUCAUCAUCCUCUUAGAAACUACCACCACAACAAAAAUGAUUUUCUGACUGGGGGAAGAUGAAAUCUCAAAGUGUUUUAUUUUGCAUUUUCCCGCAGACUAAGGACACUGAACAUUUUAAAACCUAAUUCACAACCACUUGUAUUUUUUCUUUUGAAAACUCUGGUUCUGUGACACAAUGUUUAACUAAGUUUUCUGUUUUCAUAUUUUGAGUUAUUUAUAUAUUCUAUCCACCAGGCAACUAUCAGAUGUAAAGCUGUUAAACUUUUUUUUUUCGUCUAUAGUAGGCUUCUUUACAUGAAUGAUAGUUUCCUUUCCUCUACAGAUGUAUUUUAGUUGAAGGAGUUCUCAUUUGUCUGUUGGUCUUAAAUAUUUUCAUUUUCAAUAUUCUUAUUGCUCUUAGAUCAUUUUAAAGGAUAGGAACAAGGAAUAUUAGCUUUAUAAUACCACCAAAACUUUAAAUCAAAAAUAACAAUUACUAUAAUUUGCAAUACUACAUAUAUGAAAAUCCCAUGUCUAUUACAUGCAUUCUAGUUAAUGACUGCUGAUGCUCUAAUAAAUAAAAGAAGAUAAUGACUGUA